UACGGGGGGAGCAAGCGUUGUUCGGAUUUACUGGGCGUAAGGGCGCGCAGGCGGCUGCUCAAGUCAGGCGUGAAAGGCCUGGGCUCAACCCGGGAAUUGCGCUUGAGACUGGGCUGGCUUGAGUGCGGGAGAGGAUGGUGGAAUUCCCAGUGUAGAGGUGAAAUUCGUAGAUAUUGGGAAGAACACCGGUGGCGAAGGCGGCCAUCUGGACCGCAACUGACGCUGAGGCGCGAAAGCGUGGGGAGCAAACAGG
rnacentral:rRNA from 1 species